rnacentral:lncRNA from 1 species
AUAGCUAAUGCUCUUCCCACCGAGCCAUCUCCACAGCCCAGCUCUUCUUAUUUAAUAACCAGAGCAGGGGUAGCACAUCAGAGACAGCAGCACCGGCUCCCUCCAUCACAUGAAUGCGUACAUGAUGCAGGGUGGCUAGCAAGAAGCAGAAAAUCAAACUAUCCUCUUUUAAAAUCAGCAAGUGUAUUGAGGAUUUACUUUGAUAUUACUAAUGUUUUGAGAUUAAUGAAUUAGUGUUUUAAUGUUCUUAUUUUAAUUUAUGUCUGAUUUUUAAGACAUUACUACGAACACUAAACACACAUCUCAGUUAUCAUACUCAGUAUUGACAGACACAUGAAUGACCUGUUUUGGCAUAAGACAACAUUAAAGUUGCGUUGGAGGACACAGUGGUUUGUGGUGUGAAGUGAGGAUGGAAGUUUAUACUGGGUUACUGUUUGGAAGGCUGUUUGCUUGUGUUGCCUUCCCAUUGUAGUGUCAAAGCUUUGCACGUAGGCUGUUAUCUUCAGCAAGGCCAGCCAGGUGCUUUCUUUAGAUGGCUUUUACACAUCAGCCUCCUCAUGGCUGGAGAUUGCUUUUGUGGCUGUGGGUAUUAUAUUGUUUUGUUGUGAAAACACAACUAGAAUUUAGCCCCAAAAAGCCUGUCUGUGUGUCACAUGGCUUAUGUUCACUGUAGGAUGGGGGUCGCUUUAAGCACAAUAGAUGCUUAACUGUUAAGAAACUUUUCCAUUUCUCAUUUCCACAAACGGUGCUGGAGUUCAGUCACUCUGCAUCUUUAGCAGUGAUGGGGCCACAGUGUGGGAUUACUGUAGAUUUUCCUAGUAACUAAAGAUGUGGGAAGUAUUUCCAUGUGCUUAUUUAGCCUCUCUAUAUUCCUUGGUAAAGUAACUACUCAGUCUUUUCCCAUUGCAUGUGUAGAUAUUAACAUCUUACUAAAUUAUUUAUAUGCCUGUGAUCAAACUCUUUAAAUGUUUACCUUUCAGUUUCAUGGGGGUGUGUAAAAAGUAAAUCUAAAAUCAGUAUUGGUGUGUUAUUGGUAUCACUAUAAGUAAUAAUAAGUAGUUGGAAGUAACUGAGUUAUAUGAGUUUAAAUGAACUGACUUUCUGGGCAAUGUUUGCUGCUGUUUGAUUUCUU